UACGUAGGGUGCAAGCGUUGUCCGGAAUUAUUGGGCGUAAAGAGCUCGUAGGCGGUUUGUCGCGUCUGGUGUGAAAAUCCAGGGCUUAACCCUGGACCUGCAUCGGGUACGGGCAGACUAGAGUGCGGUAGGGGAGAUCGGAAUUCCUGGUGUAGCGGUGAAAUGCGCAGAUAUCAGGAGGAACACCGGUGGCGAAGGCGGGAUCUCUGGGC
rnacentral:rRNA from 1 species